AAGCGCUCGGGUAUUUCCGUGACCCCUCACGGGCCGGCGCGGUCGUUGGCGGGCGCACGGUUAGCCGAGGGCAGCGCGGCCUCGCUGGCAGAGCCGCUCCCUCGGUGGGGAGGAAUCGCGAUCCUGCCAGGCAGAAGGCCAUUGCUGAAAGGGGACUUCAGGGAGUGAGUGCAGGAUGACUCAGCAGGGAGCUGUUCUUCAGGGUUACAAUAAUGAACUAGUGAAAUGCAUUGAAGAUUUAUGUAUGCAAAAAGAAGAACUGAACAAACAAAUCCAGCAAGCAGAAGAGGAAAAGAAUAAACUCCAGCAUGAAAUCCAAGUCCUCAGUGAACAGCUGGAGUGUGUGUGUGAAAACCUGGCCCAAAAAGUGGCUUCACGGAACGAGCUUGAUAAAAUACUUGCUGAAACUGAAGCUGCUUACAUGAAGAUUUUGGAUAGCUCUAGAACUUUACUUAAUGUCCUCAAGAAGGAAGUGGGAAGCUUAAAGCAUUCACCAGAUCUGAAAACCAAUAUAACGUGAAACAGUCAAAUGUUUGGACUCUGCAGUGCUAAAAUUCCACUAGAUUCAGGUUGUUCAAGUUCAAAUACCUGUGACCAAAAAUACAGAUGCCCAAGUUCCACUGAAGCCCACAAGCCUAUAGACCCUGCGUGACAAGGUAUCCCAGCUCCUCAGCAUCCACUUUCACUUUCCAGACCUGCUCUUUUUAAGCCCCUGCUUUGGGACCUGUUGGAGGUGGGGCAGAGGAACAGAAAGAACUUUUAAUGAUAGUUGUCAAUUAAUUACCUUUCAAAGCCUAACCUUUUUCAGGUACCUUGUCUUUAUAGACUGUAUUAUUUUAUCAGGCUGCUUAUUACCUUAUACUAGUGCAAGUAAGACCACCAGGUUUUUUAGGCAUGGAGGCUUCUUGAUGCUUAAAGGUAGUGGGAGGUCUGAAUUCUAGUCCAUCUAUAACAGCAUACAGAGCACAUAUAACAGCAGCAGGCUGUGGGGCAGCCAUAUGCCACUACAGCUUGUUUUGGGUUAAUGGAUUGAAGAGGCAUGGCAAGGGAGGAACUCUAGACCUAAUCUGAAGAGAUGGGGCUCUUCUAUAGUGAGUAUAAGCUAGCUGUAUUAAUUCAGAUUAAGAACCUAGGACAGGUGACCCUUACAGCAGUAUUCAUAUAUUUACAUAUCAUAUCAUAUAUAUGUGUGUGUAUACUCACACAUACAUUAAAAUGUAUAUAUAAAUAUACUCAGCAUUUCCCUAAGUAUGGCGUGUUCUUGGUAGAAAGCUGUCUAAUACUUCAGUAUUAUCUGUCAUUAGAAAAGACAAUUCAAAAACAGGUUGGACAUUAGCAACUUGCAUGAGGUUGUGUACCCUGUUUUUUCAGUAGUCUUCACAGUCUUGCUUCCGCAUAAGGCAUCAUUCGUAGCACCAUUCUCAUCUUCCUCCUGCAACAGCUUUUGUUGCCUCUAUUUCCUAGCUCCUUGUUCACCAUGUGUUUAGUUAUCCCAAGCUGCUGACCAGAAACAUGCUGCUCUUCUGACAUGUGGUGGGUCAGAGGUGCUUUCACUAUCUUGAUAUUGUCCAGACAUGCUCUGGCACACUUGGGAAAAUUGUUUGCAUGAUAAACAGAUUACAUUCAAUUUGACAGUGUCCCAAAAUUUAUGAUUGGAUGGGGUGAUAAUAUUAUAUUCCAGAGAAACAACAGACACCUGAUUCGAGUUUCAUCCUAAAAAAAGGAUGUAGGUCAAAGCAAUGGAUGGAUGGGAAUUUUCCUGAUAUGCCAUGGAGAUUAAAGAACAGAAGUUUAUUGUGUUUGUCAUUGAGUAUAAAUAAUAUUAUCUUCUGCAUAAAUAGGUCUAUAUGAGAUGUUGUAAUUUAAUUUGUAUUAAGACUGUGUUCAGAGUGAUAUGAGUUUGUUUCAGAAGUGUUUUGUCUGUGUUUGAGAAAAGAUUAUAACUUGAAAUUAGAAAGAGGAAAGGAAUAGUGGGCUGGAUCUUGCAGAUAAUGAUCUCAUUGAGGAAGCUGUUAUAGGUCAGCUGUGUCUUCUUCAAAGCUCUGAGUGUGACCUGUAUUGCAAAUUAAUAAAUAUGUGGUAAGACAGAGUGGAGUAUGGCACAGUAAGGCUAUUUGGUAAAAGUUACGUCAAGGCAUUGUAUGUAUUCAGCAACUUUCUUUGCAAUCCUGCUCUAUUUUACAACCUAAUCUAUUCCCCACUAAGAUGUGCUAGAGAUAAACAUUGCAGAUGCCUUUGUGUGCAGAGAAGAAGGAGAAGCAAUUAAAAGUCUGCAUGCUGUGAAGUCUCUGAGUACCAGCAGUGUCUGCACAGACCUUUACAAUGUUUUAGGGAACAGUUGGUUUUCCUGCUGUCUGGGGUGAUCGAACGUAAAUAGUUUUUGAAUGAGGACAGUAACUCAGUUAUUUUCAUGCUGGCUAAAGUCCUGCUGGUUUGCAUAAAGGUUUCCAUUUUUAUUUACUGGUAGCAAAGUCUUGGUGACAAAGUGGUUCCUCCAGAUCAGACGCUGUUUUAUUAGAGUGCAUCAUUUCAUUUCUGAUAAAGAGAGGGCAAACUUCUGAUAAUGUAGUGAAAGAACCUGGGGCAGAGCAGUAUCUGGUGUUGGUCUCCAUCAAAGACAAGGAAAAGCACAAAAGAACAAAACUGCUGGCCAUGGUCUGAAUCAGACUGGGUUGCCUCCAAGAGCAGCAAGUGAGAGGGCUUUUCUUUAUUUUAACUUGCUUCCUCCUACAUCAUUAUUGGGCUAAGUAAAAAAAAAAAAAUUCUUUUGAAUAAUAAUAAAUGGGAUAAUUUGCUUCAAGAAAAGCUAGUUCUACAUAGGAGGCAGCUAAAGCUGCUCCAUGGGACCUUUAUUUAUUUUUUUUGUCAACAAAUUUUCGUAAUGCAAAUUCUAAAAGCAAGCAGCCAUUGUAAGGAAAAGAGGUCAUUGCAGACCUUUUAUACUUCAGUAACUUCACUCCUACAUGCAGAUUCUUGGCUGCAAGUACUGCUUGUCCAAAACAGAUUUUUGGUCUCAGAUUUGUUCAGUCUAAAAUUCCUUUUCUUAUUUUAGAUAAACUUAAUAAAGCAGUAUAUGUUUUUACUUAUAUUGCAUGUAUAUUAUAUAUACGUGUCAUAUAUUACUUAUGUAAGUAUGUUGUUACUUAGGUAUGCAACUUAACCUCUAACUUUUAAGUACGAGGUUUUUCCCACGGUUUACUAUGCCAUGUAUUACUACAUGUGUUACCACACUGAUGUAGCUGGAGUGAGGCUUGGUUCUCAAACAUUAAGAUGACCUUUGAACUUUGAUUAGCUGAUAAGUAUUUUAUAGUUUCGAGUGUUGGCAAAGUCAGAAGCAGCCAAACAUUGGGAAGUGUAACUUGACUUUGCAGAUUUAAAUUAGAAUUUGCAUAUUGCCUUACAUGGAGCUUGCCUUUGUUUCAAGUAAGUUCUGCAUCUGGUUGUGUGGUGGGAGAGCACGGCCAAAUGUUCUAAAGAGCUAUCAAAAGCCACAGAACCAUUUAAAUUGGAAAGAACCUCCCAGGUAGUCAAGUCCAGCCAUUAACCCAGAACUGCCAUGCCCACCACUAAGCCAUGUCCCUAAGUGCCACCUCUAAGUGUCUUUUAAAUAAAUAAUAGCUGCUUGAGCUACUACUCUGCUACACUGGGAUUGUUACAUUGAGAAGCUAUGAUGUAACUUGUAGUUAAAAUAAUCUUAUUAGCAGGAGCACAAAUCCCCUUUAACUAAACUACAGUGUUACUGGAUUUCACAAUGUAAACUUCUGAUUCUUGUGCUGUGGCCUGUAUAAGAGCUAAGAAGGUAACGAAAAAUAAUCUUAAAAUUCUGGAAUGAGUUUUGAGAUACUAGAAUUUAAUAAGUGCCCAAGGAUUUUAUGCCACAAGACUCACUGAAAGUUAGUGGGUCUUGUGCCCUGCUUGCCGUUGCUCUGGUUUUUAACAGUCAGGAUUCUGCAUGCAUUUCUCAGAGGCCUGGUUCCUGAAAGCUGAGCAUGUUCUGUGUCUGUCUUCCCCCUACCCUCUGAAGUUACAUUUCUGUUUCUUGUAAAGAAAAGGCUGAAAGCACAAAAGCAAGUAGAAAGGCUCAGAAAUGCAGAUAUAAACAAUUCUAAAUCUUUUUCAUGAUUUAACAACAGUCUCACACAUCGUGCUUGUGUGUCACUUCGUGAUGUGUGUCUUUUUCAGUGCCUGAAGCUGGUAAUGGUCAAAGUCCUAUUGGAAAUUUCACACCAUGUUAUACUUCAGUCAAGUCAGAUGCAGUGAUGUCUCCAAGAAAGGCCCCGUAAUCUGUGGCUGUAGGACAUAACUGGCUUUCUAUACGUUAAAUUCCUCUCUUAGUACCUUUAUCAACUACACCCAGCUUUCCACAGUCAUUAUGGGUUACUCAAAGCUGUCAGGGAAGCCCCUUUUAAUCCAGCCUCAAUGUGAUCUGCAAGUGUCAGGGAACAAGGUAUGGUUUGGAGAUGGAAUUCUGGAGCUUCCAGGCCAGCAGAAGCUGGAAGCCCUGUGGGAUGGCAGGGGAAGGGAGGGCUGCUGACUCCUGGCAGAGAGAGCAUGCAGCACCAAUACAGCAGCCAGAAGUAUUAACCUGACAUGGUACUUCCCAGAAGCAGGAAUCUUAGAGGAGCAAGCAAUUUCAGGGCUGAAAGAGGCUCCAAGGGAUCUCCUAACAUCACAAUGUAUUUAUUCCCUGCAAGUGAAUGCGGGAAAGGUAGAUGGGAAGAUGACUGAAUAGAAGGGGUUUGUAGUACUUUCAGAGCCUGCUUUGGAGUCUGAAAGGCCAAAAAUAUGAUCAUGACAUCUAGCUGAAGACUGAAGAUGUGAUUUAGAAAUUGAACAGUUUAUCAAACUGAAGCUAAAGAUUGAAGUAAGUAUGCUGUAUAAAGGGUAGGACAAAGACAUUUUAUUUUAAUAAAGCUAACUGAUCAAGAGAGAAUAAGCAACUGACAACAUCCAGAGGAAUUUUUCUGAGAGGAGAACAUCAGAAGCACUGCCAGAAUUGUAUAAUUUUUCAAUCUCUUUUGUUAAAACAUAUAAAUUAGUAUCUAACAUGAAGAAAAAUUUAUCACAAUAGAAAUAAUUGAAUCCUUGGCAAAAUGAACAUGAUUUUUUAUGCCAUUCCACGAUUAUUUUUGACAAAUGCUUUUAAUUUGGCCCAAACAAUAGCAAGGAGGCUUUGUGGGUGUCAUAAUAUGCAAUCUAGACUUGAAUGAUUUGUUUCAGUCAUCAUAAAGAGGGGACAAUAGAGGAAGCAUGACAAAAAUAUAGACAACAAUGAGUAGGGCUGCACAUAAUUUUGGCUCUCCUAUUUUCAUAAUAAAUCUUUGUGGUUUGCUUAAA